GACGAACGCUGGCGGCGUGCUUAACACAUGCAAGUCGAACGGAAAGUCGCCUUUGUGGCUACUCGAGUGGUGAACGGUUGGGUAAUACGUUUGUAACCUGCCCUUCUCUUCGGGACUACUUCAGGUAACUGAUGCUCAUUCCGGAUAGGAGUCCUUGCUGCAUGGUGGGGGCUGGCAAGCUUCGGCGGUUUUGGUUGGACUCGCGGCUUAUCAGCUUGCUGGUGGUGGCGUGGCUUACGAAGGCUUCGACGAGAAGCCGGCCUGAGAGUGCGACCGGCCACAGUGGGACUGGGACAGGGACCAGACUCAUACGGGUGGGAGAAGUGGGAAAUAGUGCACAAUGGGCAGAGGCCUGAUGCAGCAGCGCCGAGGGCGGGAGGACGGCCAUCGUGUUGUAAUCCGAUUACAGUAGGGGCGAGGCAUGUGGUGACGGUACCUGGAGAAGAAGCACCGGCUAACUACGUG
rnacentral:rRNA from 1 species